rnacentral:rRNA from 1 species
UCUGGGUNACGUCAUCCAGCAGGAUAAGCGACAUUCCACUGCCACGCAGGACGUGCUAGUCAUGGGAGGAACCCCACGUGCCAGGGCCGUUCUCUGUCUCUAACGACCUUGGGGGGGNCAGUGCGGGGAGGCAAACCGAUUUUUAUCCCCUGUAUUUCCCCCGUUAACGAUGAGGGUUAAGNUUUAGGGGUUUCCCCCCUUUGUUUUUCAAGUAACGCAUUAAGCAUUCCCCUGGGGAGUUCGGCCGCAAGGCUAAACUCAAAGAAAUUGACGGGGGCCGCCACAAGCGGUGGAGCAUGUGGUUUAAUCGAAGCAACGCGAAGACCCUUACCAGGUCUUGACAUCCUCUGACACUCUUAGAGAUAGGACUUUCCCCUUCGGGGGACAGAGUGACAGGUGGUGCAUGGUUGUCGUCAGCUCGUGUCGUGAGAUGUUGGGUUAAGUCCCGCAACGAGCGCAACCCUUGAUCUUAGUUGCCAGCAUUAGGUUGGGCACUCUAAGGUGACUGCCGGUGACAAACCGGAGGAAGGUGGGGAUGACGUCAAAUCAUCAUGCCCCUUAUGACCUGGGCUACACACGUGCUACAAUGGAUGGUACAAAGGGCAGCAAAACCGCGAGGUCGAGCCAAUCCCAUAAAACCAUUCUCAGUUCGGAUUGCAGGCUGCAACUCGCCUGCAUGAAGCCGGAAUCGCUAGUAAUCGCGGAUCAGCAUGCCGCGGUGAAUACGUUCCCGGGCCUUGUACACACCGCCCGUCACACCACGAGAGUUUGUAACACCCGAAGUCGGUGGGGUAACCGCAAGGAGCCAGCCGCCUAAGGUGGGACAGAUGAUUGGGGUGAAGUCGUAACAAGGUAA